AUUGAACGCUGGCGGCAUGCCUUACACAUGCAAGUCGAACGGCAGCACGGGAGCAAUCCUGGUGGCGAGUGGCGAACGGGUGAGUAAUAUAUCGGAACGUGCCCAGUCGUGGGGAUAACGUAGCGAAAGCUACGCUAAUACCGCAUACGAUCUACGGAUGAAAGCGGGGGGAUCGCAAGACCUCGCGCGAUUGGAGCGGUCGAUAUCAGAUUAGGUAGUUGGUGAGGUAAAGGCUCACCAAGCCGACGAUCUGUAGCUGGUCUGAGAGGACGACCAGCCACACUGGGACUGAGACACGGCCCAGACUCCUACGGGAGGCAGCAGUGGGGAAUUUUGGACAAUGGGCGCAAGCCUGAUCCAGCAAUGCCGCGUGCAGGAUGAA
rnacentral:rRNA from 1 species